UACGAAGGGGGCGAGCGUUGUUCGGAUUUACUGGGCGUAAAGCGCGCGCAGGCGGCAGUUCUAAGUCCUCUGUGAAAUCACCCGGCUCAACUGGGUGGCUGCGGAGGAGACUGGGCGAGCUUGAGGGCCUAGAGGCCGGUGGAACUCCCGGUGUAGUGGUGAAAUGCGUAGAGAUCGGGAAGAACACCAGUGGCGAAGGCGGCCGGCUGGGGGCGCCCUGACGCUGAGGCGGCGGAGAGCGUGGGGAGCAAACCGG
rnacentral:rRNA from 1 species